rnacentral:rRNA from 1 species
AGCGGCAGACGGGAGAGUAACACGUGGGAACGUGCCCUUCAGUUCGGAACAUCCCAGGGAAACUUGGGCUAAUACCGGAUACGUCCGUAAGGAGAAAGAUUUAUCGCUGAAGGAUCGGCCCGCGUCUGAUUAGCUAGUUGGUGAGGUAACGGCUCACCAAGGCGACGAUCAGUAGCUGGUCUGAGAGGAUGAUCAGCCUCACUGGGACUGAGACACGGCCCAGACUCCUACGGGAGGCAGCAGUGGGGAAUAUUGGACAAUGGGCGCAAGCCUGAUCCAGCCAUGCCGCGUGGGUGAUGAAGGCCCUAGGGUUGUAAAGCCCUUUCGGCGGGGAAGAUAAUGACGGUACCCGCAGAAGAAGCCCCGGCUAACUUCGUGCCAGCAGCCGCGGUAAUACGAAGGGGGCUAGCGUUGCUCGGAAUCACUGGGCGUAAAGCGCACGUAGGCGGCUUUUUAAGUCAGGGGUGAAAUCCUGGAGCUCAACUCCAGAACUGCCCUUGA